GAUGAACGCUGACAGCAUGCUUAACACAUGCAAGUCUUUGGCGAAUCUGUGCUUGCACCGGCUAGCCAAGGCGGACGGGUGAGUAACGCGUAAAGAACUUGCCCUGCAGACAGGGAUAACAGACGGAAACGACUGAUAACACCUGAUACAGUUGCCGGCACGCAUGUGCCUGGCAAUGAAAAGAGAUGCUGCAGGAGAGCUUUGCGUCCUAUUAGCUUGUUGGUGAGGUGACGGCUCACCAAGGCGAUGAUAGGUAGCCGGCCUGAGAGGGUGAACGGCCACAAGGGGACUGAGAUACGGCCCUUACUCCUACGGGAGGCAGCAGUGGGGAAUAUUGGACAAUGGGGGCAACCCUGAUCCAGCAAUUCUGUGUGCACGAAGAAGGUUUUCGGAUUGUAAAGUGCUUUCAGCAGGGAAGAAGAAAGUGACGGUACCUGCAGAAGAAGCGACGGCUAAAUACGUG
rnacentral:rRNA from 1 species